AUGAAAAUGAAGAUGAAGACAAGGUUCAGGGCAAGCCUGACUCAUUUAUCCACGAUGAUCAUGCUUCUGUUUCAAACCACGAACACACAAUCACUGCCCAAUAUUUAGAAUCAAUCAAGAGUCUACCAACUGGUCCUGGGAAAUUCAAAAUACCUGUCUUGUCUGAUAAAAUAGAUAAGAAUGUGUACUCUCAAGUCUUCAAUAAUGAUACUGACUAUCAGAAUGACUCAUUUUGUGUGGACGAAGAAGUAUGGGAGGAGUAUGAUUGUUCUGAAGAUGAGAAAACUUUUGAA
rnacentral:lncRNA from 1 species